rnacentral:tRNA from 1 species
AGGGGCAUGGUGUAAUGGUAACACGUGGGUCUCCAAAACCUUUGUUGUGGGUUCAAAUCCUACUGCCCCUGCCA